AGCAGCCGCGGUAAUUCCAGCUCCAAUAGCGUAUAUUAAAGUUGUUGCAGUUAAAAAGCUCGUAGUUGAAUUUCGGGAUCAGUACGCCGGUCGUGCCUCCGGUAUGUACUGGUGUUACUGGUUCCUACCUUCUGACGAACCGUCAUGUCAUUAAUUUGGUGUGGCGGGGAAUCAGGACUGUUACUUUGAAAAAAUUAGAGUGUUUAAAGCAGGCUCGCGCUUGAAUACAUUAGCAUGGAAUAAUGAAAUAGGACGUUCGAUCCUAUUUUGUUGGUUUCUAGGAUUGACGUAAUGAUUAAUAGGGAUAGUUGGGGGCAUUAGUAUUCAAUUGUCAGAGGUGAAAUUCUUGGAUUUAUUGAAGACUAACUACUGCGAAAGCAUUUGCCAAGGAUGUUUUCAUUAAUCAAGAACGAAAGUUAGGGGAUCGAAGACGAUCAGAUACCGUCGUAGUCUUAACCAUAAACUAUGCCGACUAGGGAUCGGAUGAUGUUAUUUUAAUGACUCAUUCGGCGCCUUACGG
rnacentral:rRNA from 1 species